GAAUUUUGGACAAUGGGCGCAAGCCUGAUCCAGCCAUGCCGCGUGUGUGAAGAAGGCCUUCGGGUUGUAAAGCACUUUCGGACGGAACGAAAUCGCGCGCAUGAACAAUGCGCGUGGAUGACGGUACCGUAAGAAGAAGCACCGGCCCACUACGUGCCAGCAGCCGCGGUAAUACGUAGGGUGCAAGCGUUAAUCGGAAUUACUGGGCGUAAAGGGUGCGCAGGCGGCCCCGCAUGUCAGGCGUGAAAUCCCCGGGCUCAACUUGGGAAUGGCGCUUGAAACUACGGGGCUGGAGUGUGGCAGAGGGAGGUGGAAUUCCACGUGUAGCGGUGAAAUGCGUAGAGAUGUGGAGGAACACCGAUGGCGAAGGCAGCCUCCUGGGCCAACACUGACGCUCAUGCACGAAAGCGUGGGGAGCAAACAGG
rnacentral:rRNA from 1 species